GAUGAACGCUAGCGGGAGGCCUAACACAUGCAAGCCGAGCGGUAUUGUUUCUUCGGAAAUGAGAGAGCGGCGUACGGGUGCGGAACACGUGUGCAACCUGCCUUUAUCUGGGGGAUAGCCUUUCGAAAGGAAGAUUAAUACUCCAUAAUAUAUUGAACGGCAUCGUUUAAUAUUGAAAGCUCCGGCGGAUAGAGAUGGGCACGAGCAAGAUUAGCUAGUUGGUGAGGUACCGGCUCACCAAGGCAAUGAUCUUUAGGGGGCCUGAGAGGGUGAUCCCCCACACUGGUACUGAGACACGGACCAGACUCCUACGGGAGGCAGCAGUGAGGAAUAUUGGUCAAUGGGUGCAAGCCUGAACCAGCCAUCCCGCGUGAAGGACGACUGCCCUAUGGGUUGUAAACUUCUUUUGUAUAGGGAUAAACCUUUCCACGUGUGGAAAGCUGAAGGUACUAUACGAAUAAGCACCGGCUAACUCCGUGCCAGCAGCCGCAGUAACAC
rnacentral:rRNA from 1 species